rnacentral:misc_RNA from 1 species
AACGGUCUAUACCUGCGGUACCUGCGGAGGGAUCAUUACCGAGUUAUCAACUCCCAAACCCCUGUGAACAUACCCGAACGUUGCCUCGGCGGGACCGCCCCGGCGCCCCUAGCGGCCCGGAACCAGGCGCCCGCCGGAGGACCCAAACUCUUGCUUUAAACAGUGGCAUACUCUCUGAGUCUCACAAACAAAAAAUAAAUCAAAACUUUUAGCAACGGAUCUCUAGAUCGGAAGAGCACA